rnacentral:rRNA from 1 species
GAUGAACGCUGGCGGCGUGCCUAAUACGUGCAAGUCGAGCGAACGGACGAGAAGCUUGCUUCUCUGAUGUUAGCGGCGGACGGGUGAAUAACACGUGGAUAACCUACCUAUAAGACUGGGAUAACUUCGGGAAACCGGAGCUAAUACCGGAUAAUAUUUUGAACUGCAUGGUUCAAAAGUGAAAGACGGUCUUGCUGUCACUUAUAGAUGGAUCCGCGCUGCCUUAGCUAGUUGGUAAGGUAACGGCUUACCAAGGCAACGAUGCAUAGCCGACCUGAGAGGGUGAUCGGCCACACUGGAACUGAGACACGGUCCAGACUCCUACGGGAGGCAGCAGUAGGGAAUCUUCCGCAAUGGGCGAAAGCCUGACGGAGCAACGCCGCGUGAGUGAUGAAGGUCUUCGGAUCGUAAAACUCUGUUAUUAGGGAAGAACAUAUGUGUAAGUAACUGUGCACAUCUUGACGGUACCUAAUCAGAAAGCCACGGCUAACUACGUGCCAGCAGCCGCGGUAAUACGUAGGUGGCAAGCGUUAUCCGGAAUUAUUGGGCGUAAAGCGCGCGUAGGCGGUUUUUUUAAGUCUGAUGUGAAAGCCCACGGCUCAACCGUGGAGGGUCAUUGGAAACUGGAAAACUUGAGUGCAGAAGAGGAAAGUGGAAUUCCAUGUGUAGCGGUGAAAUGCGCAGAGAUAUGGAGGAACACCAGUGGCGAAGGCGACUUUCUGGUCUGUAACUGACGCUGAUGUGCGAAAGCGUGGGGAUCAAACAGGAUUAGAUACCCUGGUAGUCCACGCCGUAAACGAUGAGUGCUAAGUGUUAGGGGGUUUCCGCCCCUUAGUGCUGCAGCUAACGCAUUAAGCACUCCGCCUGGGGAGUACGACCGCAAGGUUGAAACUCAAAGGAAUUGACGGGGACCCGCACAAGCGGUGGAGCAUGUGGUUUAAUUCGAAGCAACGCGAAGAACCUUACCAAAUCUUGACAUCCUUUGACAACUCUAGAGAUAGAGCUUUCCCCUUCGGGGGACAAAGUGACAGGUGGUGCAUGGUUGUCGUCAGCUCGUGUCGUGAGAUGUUGGGUUAAGUCCCGCAACGAGCGCAACCCUUAAGCUUAGUUGCCAUCAUUAAGUUGGGCACUCUAAGUUGACUGCCGGUGACAAACCGGAGGAAGGUGGGGAUGACGUCAAAUCAUCAUGCCCCUUAUGAUUUGGGCUACACACGUGCUACAAUGGACAAUACAAAGGGCAGCGAAACCGCGAGGUCAAGCAAAUCCCAUAAAGUUGUUCUCAGUUCGGAUUGUAGUCUGCAACUCGACUACAUGAAGCUGGAAUCGCUAGUAAUCGUAGAUCAGCAUGCUACGGUGAAUACGUUCCCGGGUCU